CUUUGGGCUGCCGAGUCUUUCUCCCAUGCUUCAUGCUCUGGCUGCGGUGAGCUGAGAGAGAACAGGACACGCCUAAAAAACCCUAAAGUGUCUCUGGUGGCCGGUGUCAGUUGUGCACAGAGAUUGUGGUCCUUGGCCCCGACCCAAGGAUUAGGUGUUCCAGGGAAGAGAGAUUUCUUGGCCCUUGCCAAUCCCCAAGAGUGCUUUGGGAAUUGUGUGUUUGUGUAUAUGUGCUUUUUCCUCCUCCCUUCCCACCUCCUCUGCACUUGAGUUUUACGCCAUCUUUCUCCUCCUCCUCAAAAUGCCCACGAAAGCACGCGGAUGGCAUAAUCAGGGCCUGCCCUGGCUGGGUGGGUUUAAAAAGACUGACAAAAUGUAGCUUGGAUUGUGAAGGGGGACAAAUCUAGUAAUAUAGUCAAACAGAGUGGGAGAGUGAGAAAGGGGGGAGAGAGAGAGAGUGAGCAGUCGAAACAGUGAACGGUGGGGAAUCUUGGGCAAAGGAGGUAAGACAGGAUAUGAAAACAAUGGACUCAUUGUAGAGAGAUGAUAGAAGGAUGAGAAGGAGAUCGGUGGAACACAGCACCAUCUACAGGCUGAUAGAGCACACCAUAAGAUGAUCGCAUGAAGACGACCAGAAGUGGUUGCAACACGAGAAAGAGUGACUCACUUUGAAACCCUCUUUGACGUGUUUCCACAUAAAAGGCUUCGACAAACAAGAGAGAGGUGACCGUUUUGUAGCCCCACCACCUUUCCUGUGCCAAAAAUGCCAACUGUAACAACAAAGAGUGGCAGAUGCCAAGGGAAUCCCAGACG